rnacentral:rRNA from 1 species
UCUUUCUUUUGCUGGCGACCGGCGCACGGGUGAGUAACACGUAUCCAACCUGCCCUUUACUCGGGGAUAGCCUUUCGAAGGAAAGAUUAAUACCCGAUAGUAUAAUGAUUCCGCAUGGUUUCGUUAUUAAAGGAUUCCGGUAAAGGAUGGGGAUGCGUUCCAUUAGGUUGUUGGUGAGGUAACAGCUCACCAAGCCUUCGAUGGAUAGGGGUUCUGAGAGGAAGGUCCCCCACAUUGGAACUGAGACACGGUCCAA